GAUGCGACCUCAGCUCAGGCGGGGCCACCCGCUGAGUUUAAGCAUAUCAAUAAGCGGAGGAAAAGAACUACA
rnacentral:rRNA from 1 species